CAAAAGAAGAGGAAAACCCAGCCACUAAAAGAAGAUGAAAGCAGAUCUUGUGUUGCACCUGAUGGGGUAGCAGAGGAAUUGAAGAGUUCCAUCUAAGGCCACUGAAUUGAAAUGAAAGAAGGAAAGUCAGAGAAAGGAAAUUGCAAAAGUAAAACAGGUGAGAUGUGAUGUCCCAGAUUCAAUGCUACAUGAGUCUGCUGCGCACAAAGUAAUCCCAGGAGCUGGAGCCUUACAAUCACCAUGAGUACCCAGUACCACAAGAGCUGAUGACUCUGGACAGAUACCCAUGGAAAGGAAAUUCCCUCAGACUAGAAAUGGCACCAAAUCAGAGAACAGCCAAGUGAAUGGAAAGUAACCCCGGAUCUGCUUUAUCUUAAUUAUAAACCAAGUCUACAUAGGACUCAUGUUAGUAGUCCAAAGGAAGCAGCUGUGCAAUAGUGAUGAAGAAAGUCCCCAGGAUGCGGUGGGAGUUGUUCUUUUGCUCCAAGUGCAGAUUGCAACAUCAGGAGGAUUUAGUGGGCCAUAUCAGCCUGUCUUCACAGAUGAUUUUAAACUCUCUUUAUGCAUACAUUUCAUAAUGAGAUUGCUAUAGCUCUUAGAAAUUUAAUCUAACAUUGAUUAAUUCUUUCAUCUCUACUUCAGGCAUUAGUAUCUUCAAUGCCUUUCUUCUAUGAAGACUUUCACACUAAUUGUCAUUUUGGCUAUCCACAAAUUAGCUUUACCAGCUUUGUGAUGCUUUCCUUCUCACUACUCAAACACAAAGAAGACAGAUUCCAAAUCCCCUCCUUAUUUUGCUUCUGAUGUGACAGCUCUUUGCAUCAGAAUAGACGGCUCUCAUGAAGAAAUUUAAUUUCACAAACAAGUACAGGUUUUAAUGGUUAACAUUCAAUGAACCAGAAAAUCAGUUCACCUCAGCUAAAUUGAGUUCUUGAUCUACUGUGGACAGAGCAUGCUGCAGCAUGGUGCUCAGUGACAUAGAAUGAACUAAAAAAAAUCUCUAUGUAACUAUGUCUACAGAGAUUAGUUGUAGUGCUGGUACUGCAGUGGUCAGGGAAGCACUCUAAACACCCAAAAAGACCUUAUUUUCACAGCUGACCUCCAGUAAUGUUUAUGCUGAAAUGUGGAAAAUGUAUAGUUAACUGCAGCUACUGUGUGCCUAUGGAAAUGAGGGCUUAGGGACAAAGUAAGUCCUUUUCCAGUGUGUUGCAUAAUAUCAUUGGGAAUUAAUUAGGUAUCUUUAGGAAAAUUUCCCUCCUGAACAACAUCUCAGUAAAGAAGACACAGAUUUUCACAUUUAAAAAAAAAAAAAAAAAAAAAAAAAAGUCAUACAAGGUGUGUGGUAUGCAAAAAAUAAGCUCUUUAUCAACACUUUGGCAUAUCAGGAUGCUUGGCAUGUGCUAACAAUAGCUGCUGGCAGGCAGGCUUGGACUCCCUUCUCUGUGCAUACCAGUACCGAGCAUUGAGAAAGAUUGAUCUUCAUCAGUUCUGCUAUAUCAAGGUUGUGUACAACAAGUGUGUGCUAGCCUCACCAAAGCUCUGCUUGACCCUACCCAAUACCUUAAGAAGAAAGAAACACUGAACUGUCAGGGACUGAAGAAAAGAUGAAGAGAAGAAAUGAGGAGAGAAUCCCCUGGUUAGCCAGGGACUCCUUGUACAAGAAUCCCUAUGGGGAAUUUUGGGGUUUUGUCCCUAUUUUCAUCCAUUUAACAACUGUGGCAACUUGUUUCUUAUAAGAGGAGUGACCAGUUGCAACGUGUUGCUCCUAGACAUGUUCCCCUGAAUAAAUCCUCCCUGUGGCUGUACUACAUGUGCCAGUC